GAUCAGAAAUGGGACCCUGAAAACGAGCACUACAAGCCUAUAUCUAUAUAAGAUGCACAUGUUAGGUUGAUCUCUCUCCCGUUCGAACCCAACGGGUCGAACGGGCCCCUGACUCGCGCCCUGAUCGGGGGCGCCCAACCAAAUCAUGGUUGGUGGGCCCCUGUGACCCAUGCUAUAUAAACAGAGGUGGGGGUCGGGGCACGACUUACGAGGUUAAUCGCUGCCACAAUCCCCACCGACACUCCCUUUCGAUCUAGGGUUAGCGCGGCGCUCACGGGAAGCUCCAUCACCGCCGCCAUCUCUCUGCCAUCACCGGCCCCUACUUCACCAUGGCCGGCGCUGGAUCGAGUUCGUCUGCACCAGCAGAAGGAGGCUUUCACUUGAUGAGUUGCCUAAAAGAAGUUCUGACACUCAGAGGUGACAACCACACUGAGUGGAGGAAGAAAGUUGAACUGGCAUUUGUUUGUGCUGAUCUUGACUGAGUUGUGGAGAAACCACAGCCGGUCAGACCCACAGAGCCAGUAGGAGAGGCCACUGAUGAUGAUGAUGCAUGGGCUAAAAAGAAGAGGGACUAUGCUCCUUUGGAGCAGUCCUACCUCAUAGAUAACCAAAAGUGGGUCAAUGCAAACAAAAAAUGCAUGGCUUUUAUAAAGAAUACAAUUGAGAGCGCCAUUGUGGGCUCCAUUGCAGAGUGCACUUCCGCAAGGGAGUUGCUUACAAAGAUAAAGAGCCAGUUCACUGGCUCUUCAAAGAUAUAUGCCACCCAAGUGUUAGAGCAACUGGUGACACAGCACUACACGGGUGGUAGUCAUGGAAUAAGAGAGCACAUCCUGAGGAUGAGCAAUAUGGCAGCAAAGCUAAAGCCCAUGGAUGAGGAUCUGGAGAUCAAACCAACGCUCCUGGUCCACCUGGUCAUGGCUUCACUGCCAAAGGAGUUUGAAACUUUUGUUGUAAACUAUAAUAUGACCCCUGGAACAUAUGGGACAUUGAAAAGACAAUAGAAAUGUGUGUCCAAGAAGAGGAAAGACUCAAAGCCACACAUCGUGGUUCACUCAACUAUGUGAAGGAUUACAAGAAAAAGGACUACAGUCAAAACAACAAAAGUUCUCCUUCAAAGCAUGGAAAAGUCCCCCAUCAGCAUCAGCAUCAGUAACAGCCUUUCUCAAUGGACAAAGACACUUGUCUCCACUGCAAGCAGAAAGGGCAUUACAAGAAAGACUGCGCUGCUUGGCUGAAGUCAGACAUGGCAAAAAGAGGUAUUCCAUUCGACGUGAACUACGCUAAGAAGCGAAAGACGCAUUGAAGUGGCAAACGGAGUUGAAGCAGAAGUUGAAG